CUACGAGUUUGAUCAUGGCUCAGAUUGAACGCUGGCGGCAUGCUUUACACAUGCAAGUCGAACGGUAACAGGCCUUCGGGUGCUGACGAGUGGCGAACGGGUGAGUAAUGCAUCGGAACGUGCCCAAUCGGUGGGGGAUAACGUAGCGAAAGUUACGCUAAUACCGCAUAAGCCCUGAGGGGGAAAGCAGGGGGAUCGCAAGACCUUGCGCGAAUGGAGCGGCCGAUGUCAGAUUAGCUAGUUGGUGGGGUAAAGGCCUACCAAGGCGACGAUCUGUAGCGGGUCUGAGAGGAUGAUCCGCCACACUGGGACUGAGACACGGCCCAGACUCCUACGGGAGGCAGCAGUGGGGAAUUUUGGACAAUGGGCGCAAGCCUGAUCCAGCCAUGCCGCGUGCGGGACGAAGGCCUUCGGGUUGUAAACCGCUUUCAGCCGGAAAGAAAUCGCCAAGGCUAAUAUCCUUGGUGGAUGACGGUACCGGAAGAAGAAGCACCGGCUAACUACGUG
rnacentral:rRNA from 1 species